rnacentral:rRNA from 1 species
UACGGAAGGCAGCAGUGGGGAAUAUUGCACAAUGGGCGCAAGCCUGAUGCAGCCAUGCCGCGUGUAUGAAGAAGGCCUUCGGGUUGUAAAGUACCUUCAGUCGUGAGGAAGGUGUUAAGGUUAAUAACCUUAGCAAUUGACGUUAGCGACAGAAGAAGCACCGGCUAACUCCGUGCCAGCAGCCGCGGUAAUACGGAGGGUGCGAGCGUUAAUCGGAAUUACUGGGCGUAAAGGGCACGCAGGCGGUUAAUUAAGUUGGAUGUGAAAUCCCCGGGCUUAACCUGGGAAUGGCAUUCAAGACUGGUUAGCUAGAGUCUUGUAGAGGGGGUAGAAUUCCAUGUGUAGCGGUGAAAUGCGUAGAGAUGUGGAGGAAUACCGGUGGGCGAAGGCGGCCCCUGGGACAAAGACUGACGCUCAUGUGCGAAAGCGUGGGGAGCAAACAGGGAUUAGAUACC